AAUAUUGCACAAUGGGGGAACCCCUGAUGCAGCGACGCCGCGUGAGCGAAGAAGGCCUUCGGGUCGUAAAGCUCUGUCCUAAGGGUAGAAACGGACUGUACCUUUGGAGGUAGCACCUGCUAACUAACUGCCCGCAGCCGCGGUAAUACGUAGGGGGCGAGCGUUAGCCGGAAUUAUUGGGCGUAAAGGGUGCGUAGGCGGCUUUUUAAGUCAGAUGUGAAAGGCUACGGCUUAACCGUAGUUAGCAUUUGAAACUAAAAGGCUUGAAUGCAGGAGAGGAGAGUGGAAUUCCUAGUGUAGCGGUGAAAUGCGUAGAUAUUAGGAGGAACACCAGUGGCGAAGGCGACUCUCUGGACUGCAACUGACGCUGAGGCACGAAAGCGUGGGGAGCGAACAG
rnacentral:rRNA from 1 species